rnacentral:rRNA from 1 species
GACGAACGCUGGCGGCGUGCUUAACACAUGCAAGUCGAACGGAAAGGCCCUGCUGUUGUGGGGUGCUCGAGUGGCGAACGGGUGAGUAACACGUGAGUAACCUGCCCUUGACGUUGGGAUAACUUCAGGAAACUGGGGCUAAUACCGGAUAGGAGCUCCUGCUGCAUGGUGGUGGUUGGAAAGUUUCGGCGGUUGGGGAUGGACUCGCGGCUUAUCAGCUUGUUGGUGGGGUAGUGGCUUACCAAGGCUUUGACGGGUAGCCGGCCUGAGAGGGUGACCGGCAAAAUUGGGACUGAGAUACGGCCCAGACUCCUCCGGGAGGAAGAAGUGGGGAAUAUUGAACAAUGGGCGGAACCCUGAUGCAGCAACGCCGCGUGCGGGAUGACGGCCUUCGGGUUGUAACCCGCUUUCGCAUGUGACGAAGCGUGAGUGACGGUAAUGGGUAAAGAAGCACCGGCUAACUACGUG